GUUUUUUAUUUGUCUUUAUUAAUGAAUAAAAUGUACAGUGUGUUCUUCAUACAUGAAUCAGAAUGGAAGUUUGUCUUAGGACUUGUUUACUUUUCUCAGCAGUGUAUUUUGGAGGACUGGUUACACUCAACUGUAACACUCAACUGGUACAUCCAGUUUACUAGGGACUCUCUUCAUGUCCCGAGAAAGGAGCAUUAUUAAGAAGGGAUCAACAAUAAAAGGUUUGAUUCCAAGUUGAAUUUCAGUUCUGUCCUGUGAUGAUCCAGAGACUGCAGCUGUCUGACUGCUGUGUACUACUGUGCCCUGAGGCCCACUGUGACAACAGGAUUUACCACAAAACUAUUUGAUAGUGUGAUAUCACCCUCUAGACAGCCUUGUGUAAGCUCCUCCUCAAUACAUCCUGAGGCAGAGUUACAUCAUUCAGAGAGGUGAUUAACAAGCCAAAGUCACAUACAAGUGUGUUUGUUCUCUCCUUAACUACCAUCAGUAGACAUGGAGUCUUGGCUGAAGAAUAGUCUCAUACUUGUGUUUUGUUGUGGUAUGAUAUCUAUACUUGGUGGUGGAGCUGGUAGAAAAACAGAAAAUAAACAUUCAAAUGAAAACCUUGUAGAUAUGAUUGAUUUAGAUUAUUUAGCAUGAUUUAAUUUUGAUGAAGAAAAACAGCUCCCCAAAAUCUUCUUCUCAUCCUGCACUUCACAGGGACUGUGACAAAAGCUGAUUCUCUUGGUUUCCAUUUCUCUGGUAAACUGAGCAAAAACAAGAAAUGUGUUAAUCUAAAAAUGUCAUCUGCUAAAGUUGCUGACUCUACUAUGAUGCACUGAAUCCCUCUUUGACAGGAAACCCAGACACUACAAAACAAAAACACACCAACCAGUGCUGCAACAGAAUAAAAUAACCAAGGCAGAGAUCAGAUCUAGUAUUUCUGUAUUUCACAUGGAGUACUCUCUGGUACUGGUUGUCAUUCUAGUCUCAGGACUGGCUGCUGGGGAUCAGAUUACUCCUGAAAAUUAUGACUUGAUCAGUACAGAGGGAGAAUCUGUGACUCUGAGCUGCACAUAUGAUACAAGUAGUGAUCGUAUUGAUCUACACUGGUACCGUCAUUAUCCUAACCAGGCGCCUAAGUUUAUAUUGUGGAAAGGAGCACAAUCAGAUUUUAACAUUGAUAAGAUUGCAUUAGAGAAUUUGACCAGAGCAAGGAUUGUUUGAAAAUGCUCCUCCGCACUAUUUUAGAUUUUUAGUGCCAAAGAGUGUCUAACACAGUUAUGAUUUCUUAACACAGCUGACCACCCCUGUAUCAGUC
rnacentral:lncRNA from 1 species